rnacentral:rRNA from 1 species
UCCCCUAGUAACUGCGAGUGAAGCGGGAAAAGCUCAAAUUUAAAAUCUGGUGGUCUUUGGCCAUCCGAGUUGUAAUCUAGAGAAGUGUUACCCGCGUUGGACCGUGUACAAGUCUCCUGGAAUGGAGCGUCAUAGAGGGUGAGAAUCCCGUCUUUGACACGGACUACCAAGGCUUUGUGGUGCGCUCUCAACGAGUCGAGUUGUUUGGGAAUGCAGCUCAAAAUGGGUGGUAAAUUCCAUCUAAAGCUAAAUACAGGCGAGAGACCGAUAGCGAACAAGUACCGUGAGGGAAAGAUGAAAAGAACUUUGGAAAGAGAGUUAAACAGUACGUGAAAUUGCUGAAAGGGAAACGCUGGAAGUCAGUCGCGUUGGCUAGGAAUCAACCUUACUCUUUUGUAGGGCUUACUUCUUAGUUGACGGGCCAACAUCAAUUUUGAUUGCUGGAGAAAGGCUUAGGAAAUGUGGCACCUUCGGGUGUGUUAUAGUCCUAGGUUGUAUACAGUGGUUGGGAUUGAGGAACGCAGCACGCCGCAGGGUUGGGUCUCUGACCACACUCGUGCUUCGGAUGUUGGCAUAAUGGCUUUCAUCGACCCGUCUUGAAACACGGACCAAGGAGUCUAACAUGCCUGCGAGUGUUUGAGUGGUAAACUCGAGCGCACAAUGAAAGUAAUAGUUGAGAUCUCUGUCAUGGAGAGCAUCGACGCCCGGACCUGAUGUUUACUGACGGUUCUGCGGUAGAGCAUGUAUGUUGGGACCCGAAAGAUGGUGAACUAUGCCUGAAUAGGGUGAAGCCAGAGGAAACUCUGGUGGAGGCUCGUAGC